GAUGAACGCUAGCGGCAGGCUUAAUACAUGCAAGUCGAGGGGCAGCAUGUCCCGCAGCAAUGCGGGAUGAUGGCGACCGGCAAACGGGUGCGGAACACGUACACAACCUUCCUUUAAGCGGGGAAUAGCCCGGGGAAACCCGGAUUAAUACCCCAUAGUAUAUUGAAAAGGCAUCUUUUUAAUAUUAAAGAUUUAUCACUUGAAGAUGGGUGUGCGGCUGAUUAGGUAGUUGGCGGGGUAACGGCCCACCAAGCCUGCGAUCAGUAACUGGUGUGAGAGCACGAACAGUCACACGGGCACUGAGACACGGGCCCGACUCCUACAGGAGGCAGCAGUAAGGAAUAUUGGUCAAUGGACGAAAGUCUGAACCAGCCAUGCCGCGUGGAGGAUGAAGGUCCUCUGGAUUGUAAACUUCUUUUAUAUGGGACGAAAAAAGGGUUUUCUAACUCGUCUGACGGUACCAUAUGAAUAAGCACCGGCUAACUCCGUGCCAGCCGCCGCAGUAACAC
rnacentral:rRNA from 1 species